UACGGAGGGCGCGAGCGUUGUUCGGAAUCAUUGGGCGUAAAGCGGGUGUAGGCGGCUUGAUAAGUUGGGUGUGAAAGCCCUGGGCCCAACCCAGGAAAUGCACUCGAAACUGUCUCGCUAGAGUCCCGGAGAGGGUGGCGGAAUUCCCGGUGUAGAGGUGAAAUUCGUAGAUAUCGGGAGGAACACCAGUGGCGAAGGCGGCCACCUGGACGGUGACUGACGCUCAGACCCGAAAGCGUGGGGAGCGAACAGGAUUAGAUACCCUCGUA
rnacentral:rRNA from 1 species